GUAUUGGUGGUUCAGUGGUAGAAUUCUCGCCUCCCAUGCAAGAGACCCAGGUUCGAUUCCAGGCCAAUACA
rfam:Loxodonta africana unplaced genomic scaffold scaffold_0, whole genome shotgun sequence.